UACGUAGGUGGCGAGCGUUGUCCGGAUUUACUGGGCGUAAAGAGCGCGCAGGCGGUCGUUCAAGUCGCGUGUGAAAGCCCCCGGCUCAACUGGGGAGGGUCACGCGAUACUGAUCGACUCGAAGGCAGGAGAGGGAAGUGGAAUUCCAGGUGUAGCGGUGAAAUGCGUAGAUAUCUGGAGGAACACCGGUGGCGAAGGCGGCAUCCUGGACCAACACUGACGCUGACGGAGCGAAAGCCAGGGGAGCAAAGCGGGAUUAAGCAAACCCCGU
rnacentral:rRNA from 1 species